CAGCUCUCAUAGUUUUGAUACUCUUAUCAUCUUGGUUUCAAAAGCAGGGACCAUACCCAAAUUAUUUUUGCAUGCCCUGGGCCUGGGUAUUGUCCAGCAGGGGGUACGGACCUGAAAACAAGUCUUGCAUUCAUUUAUUUGCUAACAAUUAGAACCUAGAACCUAUUUCCAUUGACAUCCCAAUCAGUUAAAUUUAGGUGCCUGUUUUAAUAGGUUCUUUUUUUCUUGAGCUACUCAAGAGUUCUCCUUUCUAUUUUGCAGAUAUUCCAUUUAGAUAAUACCAGGCAGGACAAAAAGAGGUUUGUAUAGUUUUGGAAACUUCACGAAUAAGGAACACCCACAGGUUCAAGAAGAUGCAUUAAGGACUCACGUCUGCUGGGAUAAUUCACAUCACUAUAACAAGUAGGGACUGAACAUCUCUGUGGAAAACACUGAACAAAGGGGAAAUAUAUAUUAUUUCUGCUCUCAAAGAGUUUAUGUCAGAAAGAGAGUGAUCAGAAUGACACAAAUAGCUAGAAGAGAAAGCAGAGCUUCUUCUGUGGAGGAGCCAGGCAGAAGGUGCGAAGGCAAUGGAAAUGCAGCAGAGAGGAACUAUCUGUGGAGCAUAAAGAGCCUCCAUUAAUUAUAAUGCUCCAGGUUUCCCCAGUCGAAUGCUACAUCGCAUGAGACUAAGUGAGCUGCGCCAUUUCAACACAAUCCCGCACAGCGACUGAGUGCGGCAAGAAAGCGUGGAUGCUGUGAAGCCGUCAGUUGUGAAACAAGACUUGAAUGAGCUCCUUAGUUCACACUUCCUUUCCUGCCCAGCUUGCACGCUUGGUGAUGAUGACUUUCCAAGCAACACUAGAAGUUUGACCUCCUUAUCAGUAAAAAUGUGUGCAGAUGUCUCAAAAGUCAGAGCUACUGCAGAUAAAGUUUGGUUUCAGGCUUCACCUUGGUUACAGUUAUUUGAAGGUACCAUUAGCUGAAUUUAUCUCACUCAAAUUCCUAACUAAGCGAAGCUUCUUACUUGGCUUUCAUUUAGCCCUUCUAUCUGUCCCAAUAAUCAGUAGACCAGAAAUACACGGAGCGUUGUCA